GUGCCCGUAGCUCAGGGGAUAGAGCGCUUGGUUGCGGACCAAGAGGUCGGGGGUUCAAUUCCCUCCGGGCAUACCA
rnacentral:tRNA from 3 species